AUUGAACGCUGGCGGCAGGCCUAAUACAUGCAAGUCGAGCGGAGCGGCGGACGGGCGAGUAAUGCCUAGGAAUCUGACUGGCAGAGGGGGAUGAAGUCAGGUAACGGGAGCUAAUAUCAUAUCGUAUUAGCUUAGCCUAGGUCGGAUUGGCUGGUUGGUGGGGUAAAGGGCUACCAAGGCGACGGACCGUAACUGGGCUGAGAGGAGGAUCAGUAACACUGGAACUUGGGCACGGUCCGGACCCCUACGGGUGGCAACAGUGGGGAAUAUUGGACAAUUGGCGAAAGCCUUAUCCAGCCAUGCCGGGUGUGUGAAGAAGGUCUUCGGAUUGGAAAGCACUUUAAGUUGGGAGACGGUACCAACAGAAUAAGCACCGGCUAACUUCGUGCCAGCAGCCGCGGGAAUUA
rnacentral:rRNA from 1 species